GAGAGAGAGAGAGAGCUGUUUCUUCUGCUGUACUGUAGUUUGGAAGUCACAGAAAUAGCGGAGUCUUGCAGGAGACAACUUGAAGGGCUUUGGUGGUAUAAAUACAUAAAUAAAUAUAUAUAUAUAAAUACCCUGCUUUAAACAGAUUAAAGAAAACGCUCCGUCACCUGUCACCACCACCCUCAGGGGAGGGAGAGAGAAGACAGGAGGAGGAACAUACUGGAACUUACAGAAGGAAGAGGAAGGAGUUGAGGUAUCUAGUCUGUAUAUUGGACAGUGGUUGGUACGUGUGUGGAAAACAUCAACUCCUCUACUGUUCUCUAUGACCGGCUGCUCUGAACUCACCUGGACGGACAGAUGAGAAGGAGAGAACACAGGGAAGGACAGUAGUGGCUCAGAGAGAGCUGCAGCUCGUCGGGCAGAGGACGACAGACUACCCACCAAAACGACCGGCUGGCUGACCGAACGAUCGACUCCUCCCUUUCGGUGGCUUUAUUGAAUGGGACCCUGGGCACAGCGGAGCUGGAGAAUUUAAAAUACGUGUCCCUCAGGAGUACUCCUGUCCUACACGCGUAGCUGUGCCCCGAGCAGCGAAACACACAGCCAAUAAAUCAAUAGCAGGGACCUCAGAUUCCUCCAUUACCACCUCCCCCCCCCGGCUGGCCUGGCGGAGGACAGCAGCAGAGCUACAGAUGAGAACCUGCUGACCAGGGCGUAACCACCACAGCCCCUGGAGGACAGCCCUGGGGGACAGCCCUGGAGGACAGCCGUGGAGGACAGCCGUGGAGGACAGCUGUGGAGGACAGCCCUGGGGGACAGCCGUGGAGGACAGCCCUAGAGGACAGCCCUGGGGGACAGCCCUAGAGGACAGCCCUGGGGGACAGCCCUGGUUCUGAACCCUCUCUAACCAUCAACACAAGACAAGGGUGUUCUGACUGCAGUGGUGAGGAGGGCGGAGGCCUGGUUGUGGUCCCUCUGGUUCCAUUCGGAGCUACAAUACACCCGAAGGCAGCUAAACACAGAGAAGCCCACAAUGACAUCCUGAAAAUACUUAUUUUAUAGCUAUUUUGUCUCUCCUCUUAUUUCUAGACCUUCAAGUCCUUGUGUUUUUAUUCAAGCAGGUUUUGACACAGGGAGAAAAGAAGCAUUGUCCGUGAUGAUGCUUUCUGAGGAUUACGUCUUGAUGUUUGACAGUUAUAGGGAAAUUGAAUUCAGGCUUUAAAAAACCCCCGUCCCAAUAUUUCCCUUGUCCUCUGUCGCUAUAGUAAUCAAGGUUGUCCGCGUUCAGAGUGUUAUUUGAGACUGAGCAACAAUAGCAUGUUCAUGACCGUAUACACACUCCAUCAUGUGAGAGGAGAGACAAGGGCCCCAGAGCCUUAAUCCACCGGCCCCUGGAACAGAUCAUAUCUGACGUGUGACAAGAAAGAGACAACACAACAGAACCCAACCCAACAGAACCCAACAGAACACAACACAACAGAACACAACAGAACCCAACCCAACAGAACACAAC